rnacentral:rRNA from 1 species
CCGGGAAACGCUCAUGGCAAUGAACCCAGAGGCACUUUGGGACGGCCGCGGGUAUUUUGACCGUGCGAAGGUAGCGCAAUCACUUGUCUUUUAAUGAGACUGUAUGAUGGUGUACGAGAGCUGACUGUCUCUCGUUCGAGUCAUGAAUUGAUCUGGCCCGUGCAGAAGCGGACUAAAAAUUCCAGGACGAGAAGACCCUUUGGAGCUUACGAUACCAGAUCAACUGUGUUCAAGAACCCAGAAAGUUAACCAAAUAGCAACUGAUCCUUAUCUUCUGUUGUUGACGACGCGUGUGUAAACAAGUUCCAGGCGAUGGCCCACCCAUACCAGGAAUAUUCUAUUCCGAUCUACCUAUACCGCGAGCCAUAGACAGUCCCAGGUCACGUUCCUUCGAGUCAUCCAGGAGUACAGCCGUGGUCGGGACGAGGCACCAUUAGGUGAUGUCAUGUAGCAAAGC